CCCAAACCAUGGGAGCUGCUAGCCAAAAUGUCUCUAUGGUGUGCUGUGUGAGAACCAUGGCUAAAGCAUUCAAGGUUGUUUUCCCACCCCUAUUUGAGGGAUAAGACUCUGGGAGGAUUGAAAUGGAGAAUCAAAGCAUCAUUUUAUCUGGACUCCAAAAACAGAAAUUUGAAAAUAAAAGACCAAGAUUUUAAAAAUAGAUAAAUGAAAGGACAACGAUGUCAUUUCUAAUUCUUUAGGUAAGUAGAUAGUAAAUAUGCAAAUAAAUUAAUCUCCUAAAUCCAAUGAAUAUGCAAUUUUUAUGUAGUACAGAAGAAAUUAAAUGUUUAAUUCUAGUUCUCUGUAAUUGGAAAAGUUAAAUUCAGUUACCUUUACUGAUGAAAAGUUCUCCCACUC
ensembl:lncRNA